AUGCUGAGAGAGCUCUGUGAGCUCUAGGUUUCUAGGUUGAGCUCAAAUAUCUAAGCUUCGACUUUCAAGAGAGAGAAGUCGAAAGUGAAGCUUUGAAGUGAGGGUUUCUCGUUUGCAUCAAUAUUUCAUCAUUAAAGAUAUGAUUUUUGUACCAAAUUUUUUCUUUUGGCUAGAAAGUUCCAUUCUUUCCAGCCAGUAAAGCUUCAACAUCCAUAUUUAUGCCGCCAUCAGGUUUUUGGAUUUGCAAAGGUGGGUAGUCGAACAAAAGACGGAUGGGGAAGAAAGGGCUCGAAAUGUGUUCUGGAGACCUUUAUUUGUUGAUAUGUUUUGUUAUUUUAGAUUUUUGGGUUUCAAUCUUAAGAGUUUUGCAUUUUAAUUUUUGUUUAGGGUAUUGAAGAUUCAUGGAGUCGUGUUUGUGGAUUUAGCUUGGAGGAUUUGUUACAGAAUGCUCAAUAUUUGUUAAUUUUGUUAUGAACUUGCAAAUUUUUGUGAAUCUGGAAUGGGUGUUUGUCUGAAAA